rnacentral:lncRNA from 1 species
GCGACUUGGGAGACCGAGUGGGAUAUGCGCAGCCGAUACCCUCAUCUUUUUGGUAGUUUAGGUAUGUUCUCUAUGCUCGUUUGAGGACGAACGAAUGUUUAAGUGUAGGAGGAUGUGAUGAUCCGGCCGGUCGUCUUUGGUAUUUAUGCCUUGUUCCCCCCUUAACUGCUUUCCCUAAGUUCAUUUCUUCUAUUUUGGGUUGCCGAGAUGUUCGGUAAUAGAAUUUGGAGAGUUUUGGGACAUUUAGUACCUAAAUGAGAGCUUAAGUGUUGGAAAACGGCCCGUAAUUAGAACAAUGUGAAGAAGACAUCAGAAUGAAAAUUCAAUGGUUCCAUUAGCUCUGUUUGGUGAUUUUGUGGUUGGGAGUGUGUUCAAAAGGUAUUUUGGAUGUCCGUAGCUCAUUUAGGCAAGAAAUGCCGAAAGUUAGAAUUUUGAAGUUUCAGGUCCGAUAGUGAAUUUGUGACCCGAGGGUCGGAACGGGAUUCUGGAAGUUGCUGUAGGACCUUCAUGUCAUUUGGGACGUACGUGCAAAAUUUCAGGUCAAUCAAACUUAGUUUAGUUAGGGUUUUGAUCGAAAGCGAGUCUGGUUGAGUUUUGGAGUUCUUAGGUUCAAAUCAUUGGUUAAUUCGAGUUUUCGGCGUUGUUUUAGGUGGUUUAAGGAUUGGUACAAGUAUUAAUAAUGUUGUGGGAUAUGUCCGUAGGUUUGGUUGAGGUCCCAGGGGCCUCUGGUGUGUUUCGGAUGCUCGACGGGUUUGUUUUGGAAGUUAGAAUGGAAUUUUUGCAGUAGACUUCUGUUGUUUCAGCUUCUGCGGCUUGGGAACCGCAAAAGAGGCUUGGCAGUCGCUGGAGCGGAAAGGAGUUAUAGGCCAGGAAUCGCAGAAGCGGUAGGCAUUCCGCAGAAGCGGGAUCGCUUCUGCGAUGUAGGGGUCCGCAGAAGCGAAAAUGGUCAUCUUAAGUGGGAGCCGCAGAAGCGGCAUUUUGACCGCAGACGAGGGACUGCAAAAGCGGUAUCUGGACCACAAAAGCGGAACAAACAGUGAUGUUAAGGGUUUUAUCCGAGGCUUUAUUUCAAAGUUUGAAAAAUCAAGUUUGAUCUCGGGCAAAGGCAAUUUUGAGAGGGUUUUGAAGAGGAGAUUAGUGGAUAGCGUUUCUAUGAUCCGUGUUAGUUAUAUUCCAUCGAUUUGUGGUUAAAUCCAUCUUUCAAAUUCGAAUAUAGGAUAAAAAUUGGAUAAUUUGGGUAAAAUUACUUUUGGCUAAACUAUUGAGUUUUGAAGGGGAAUUUGACCUCCGAUCUGGGAGAUUUUUAUAUGGUUAGACUCGUGAGAGUAUGAGGCUUUUGAAAAUGUGAAAAUUAUUCGAUUAUGAGACGUUGGCUUGAGGGGAAUUUUCGUCCUUUUACCUAUUUUUGCGCCUUAUCUUUAAUGUUAUCAGUGGAAUUAGUUACUCACGAUGUUAUUUACAAUAUGUAAUUGGUUUGAAUAGAUUUGGGCCACUUGGAGUCGGAUACUCGUGGAAAAGGCAUCGUUUCUUAGAGAUUUUAUACCGGUUCGAGGUAAGUGGCUUGUCUAACUUUGUGUGGGGGACCUUUUCCCUUAGGACAUCUUGACUGUUGUUUAGAAGUCCUUGUGCGCGAGGUGACGAGCGUGUACUUGUGCCAAUUGUUGUAAAUUCACCUUACUUGACUUAUUUAGACUGUGUUCUUCAUGUAUUUAACUGUUAUAAAUGCAAUUUCACUUGUUUUAGCUUAGGGAAAGCAUGUUAGUUAGCUUACUUGUUCUUUUU